CCCUUAGAUGUCCUGGGCCGCACGCGCGCUACACUGAGUGUCUGAGAUACGAGUCUGCCUGGUCCGGCAAGGUCUAGGUAAUCGCUAAAAGACACAUCAUGCUUGGGAUAGAUUAUUGCAAAUAUUAAUCUUGAACGAGGAAUUCCUAGUAAGCGCAAGUCAACAGCUUGCGUUUAUUACGUCCCUGCCCUUUGUACACACCGCCCGUCGCUACUACUGAUUGGAUGUUUAAGCGAGGUUCUCGAACUGCUAGCGACUUAGCUUCGGUGAGGUCGCAGUGUGGGAAGUGAACCUAGCUUUGGUGUCUAGAGGAAGUAAAGGUCGUAACA
rnacentral:rRNA from 1 species